UACGUAGGGCGCGAGCGUUGUCCGGAAUUAUUGGGCGUAAAGAGCUCGUAGGCGGCUCAUUGCGUCAACCGUGAAAACCAGCAGCUCAACUGUUGGCUUGCGGUUGAUACGGGUGGGCUGGAGUUCGGUAGGGGAGACUGGAAUUCAUGGUGUAGCAGUGAAAUGCGUAGAGAUCAUGAGGAAGACCAGUGGCGAAGGCGGGUCUCUGGACAGUUCCUGACACUGAGACACGAAGGCCAGGGGAGCAAACGGG
rnacentral:rRNA from 1 species